ensembl:lncRNA
UUUGUGUGCGUGUGUGAGUGUGAGAGAUAGACUCGCUCUUAAUAUGGACUUGUUGAGUCCAGAGCAGAGGCAGAAGGCACGGCGUGAGAUGAAGGCCUCCUCCUCUUCCUCCACGGCCUUUUAAGUCUCUCCCCACUGUGCCUAGAAAAGGGAAUGAAUGUAGCCAGCUGGGAGAAGAGGGGGGGGGGACUAUCAGUGGGAGCGAUCACAGACUGGGAGAGGGAAUGUUUACCCAAAGCAGCAAUCCCAUUUUCCAUGAUCCCCAAAAUAAAAGGCUGGCUCGGGCCUUAUAUGGCCAGACUGGGAGUUUCCCGAGCACAGUCGCAGCAUUCCUGGAGAACUACCAGCUGUUCUCUCUCUCUCCCUCUGUCUUUAUAUGUCUCUCUCUCUCUCUCUCUCUCUCCCUCUCUCUCUCUCUCUCCCUCUGUCUUUAUAUGUCUCUCUCUCUCUCUCUCUCUCUCGAUCUGUGUCUUUACAUGUCUCUUUCUCUCUCCUCCAUGUCCUCCGUGAUGGAGACGACAGGAGUUGGAGUAUUAUUGCUGCUCCAGAGGACCAAACACUUUUUGACACUUCACAUUUAUAUCUUCUACCAGGUGUUGUCUUGAGAUGAUGGAGAUCAAAGAUGGAGAUCACAAGCCUGCACUUUGGAUGUCAGAGAGGAGCAUGAAGAAAGUUAUUAUUAGCUUAGUCCUUUAUAACUUUAUUCUAAUGGUAUUGGAUCUUGUCAUGAGUACACCUGCGUCUGCCUCAGGUUCAAGUCAG